AACCACACAACAUUUAUCAGAGUAAAAUUAUUGAAGAAAAUCAAAAACACAUAUGAAGCUUAAUACAAUGGGGGAGGAGGUGGUGAACUAUAUAAAUAUGGAUUAUAUGGUGUAGGUGGAGAUUUAUAAAUGUAAGGAGUUGGUGAAGGAUAAUAUGAAGGUGGUGAUGAAUAAAUGUAAGGUUUUGGAGGAGAGUUAUAAACAUAGGGAGGUGGAGGUGGGGAUUUGUAGACAUAUGGUGGAGGUGGAGACUCAUAGAUAUAUGGUGGUGGUGGUGAAGGAGAUGGUGGGGGUGGAGACUUAUAGACGUAUGGAGGAGGUGGUGAAGGAGAUGGAGGUGGUGGUGACUUGUAGACAUAUGGAGGAGGUGGUGAAGGCGAUGGUGGUGGUGGUGACUUAUAGACAUAAGGCGGAGGAGGUGAAGGGGAUGGCGGAGGUGGAGAUUUAUAGUAGUAUGGAGGAGGUGGUGAAGGUGAAGGUGGCGGAGGUGACUUAUAAACGUAUGGAGGUGGUGGUGGAGACUUGUAGACAUAUGGUGGAGGUGGAGACUCAUAAACAUAUGGAGGUGGUGGUGACGGAGAUGGUGGAGGUGGUGACUUGUAGACAUAUGGAGGAGGAGGUGAAGGGGAUGGAGGUGGAGGUGAUUUAUAGAUAUAUGGUGGUGGAGGAGAAGGUGAAGGAGGGGGUGGAGACUUGUAAACAUAUGGAGGGGAUGGGUAUACAUAAGGUGGAGGAGGUGGUGACUUGUACACAUAUGGUGGUGGUGGUGGACUAUUAUAGACAUAUGGUGGUGGAGGUGGAGAUUUGUAGAUAUAUGGAGGAGGAGGUGAGUUGUAAACAUAUGGAGGUGGUGGUGAUGGAGAUGGUGGAGGAGGAGAUUUGUAAUAAUAUGGUGGAAAUUUGUCGACAUAUGGAGGUGGUGGUGAUGGAGAUGAUAUAGGUGGAGAUUUAUAGUAAUACGGAGGAAAUUUGUCAACAUAAGGAGACGGUGGAGCUUUAUAGUAAUAUGGAGGAAAUUUAUUGUCAUAAGGAGGAGGAGAUUGAUAAUUAUAUGGAGGAAAUUUGUAAGGAUAUGGGGGUGGAGAUUGAUAGUUGUUAUAUGGAGGUGGCUUGUAAGUGUUGGGUGGUUGGGGAUAGUUGUUAUAUGGAAAUUGGCCUCCGUAAUAAGGCUUAUCAUCAUCAGCAAUAACAAAAGUACUUAAAGCAAUUAUGCAAAGUGCUA
rnacentral:lncRNA from 1 species